AUGUGAGAUUUUAAACAGAAGCCUUUGCUGUCACCCCUGCCAAGCCCUACCAAACCCUGUCAGCCCCCACCAAGGCCCUCUCAAGCUUCACCAAGGCCUGUCAACCCCCUACCGAGACCUAUCAGCUCUAUAAUCUGAAAAAAGUGCAGUGUCUUAGGAGGGAUUGAUUAAGUAAACAGUGACUUAUGGCCAAAAUGGAACUAUAUGGAGAUUAAGUAGAGAUUAGAAUAGAAGCUGAAAUUGAGCAGGAUAGUUACAAUCACAGACUUCCAACUUGCUACUCCUUGGUGUGAAAGAAUCUGCAGGAAAUUAAGUACAUGGCAACUCCUGUUAGUCCCUCAUGUGUUCUUGAAAGCAGACUGACAGAUUCAGUGUGUGACAUGCUGACGUGGGGGAAGGCUGUCUGGUGGCUGCUCUAUGCUGUAGCUAACAAAAUGGUUGUGUUUCAAGUGUUGUCAUGCCUGGAAAGUCUACAGGUCAUCAUUACUAGUAUAAAUGUGUACUACAAUGGUGAAAUUUAGUGAAAAAAUGUGCUGUUUAUGUAUUGGCAGGGAAAGAUUUGUGCUCAUCAAGACAAUGAUAAAAAAAAUUUUUAUAUUAUUAUUAUUAUUACUAUUUUUUUUCUUUUACUUGUUUUGCUGUAAGAUGAGACUACAAUAACUGCCCCUUGAUGCCCUAUAAGGUACCGCCAAGCACCAAGGGGCGGCCACCACGGUGUACAGUGAAGCACGUCCCAGCAUCCCUGUCACCAUCUUUUCCCUGCCAAUAAUUAUGCAUUACAUUUCCCAACUAAUUUCAUUCUAGUACAACAUUUCUACUACUAAUGGUGGCCUGGUUAAUCUGUUAAGGGAGCACUUUGUUCAACAUCUUUAAAAUAUUAUUUGAUCAUCACCUGUAUCUCUCACCUGAUGAUAUAGAUAGGCUGGGUGUAGGUAACAACUUUCAACCUCUCCUCAGUGAUGGACAAUUCAGAGACAGUGAGGUCAGCUUCCCCUGACUGCAGAGCUCCUACCGUGCCCGUCCACUCGUUGCUUGAGCUGUCCUUCAGUUUCCCAGGGGCAGUCGGUCUGUACAUGCGUGAGGUGGCGAGGGGCGUGGCCAGGGGGCGGCUAGUAGCGUGUGCCACCAUGGAAAUAUGUACAGACAUAAAGAAGACGCCCUCAAGAAAGACUACCCCAUCCCCUGCCUCCCGCUGUGCCCCACCCAGACACCACGGCCCAGCAGUGACGCCAUUCCACCUGCUACACGACGCUGGCUGACGCACUCCAGACGUGGCAGCAACAGGAGGUGGAGGGCAGGAGCAAGAGUCAGAUGGAUGGCGAAGGAAGGCAUGAUGGCGGAGCUGGUGGCUUUGGAGGGUGUUCGUGCAGGGUACCUCGGCAGGGUCUAGAUUAGAGCAAAUGGAUGAUGAGAGACUAGUAAGGUGUUUGUGUGGAAUAUUAGGAGUAGCAGUUGGGGGAACAAGUGUGUUAGGAUGGUAAUAAAGAAUGGCUUGGAAACUAGUUGUUGGGCUUUUGAGGGGUUGAGUGAAGCCUUGUUGAGAGUGAUGGAAGUAGGAUUGUCAGAAAUGGAGAGGGCUUACAAUGUUAUGUAACUAAGUGGACAAGUGAGAUAGACAGAGUGAUCAAGCACAUGGGACUGAGUGAGCCAAGUGUGGAAAUUCUGGGAUGGAGUGAGCCAGGUGUGGAAAAGUGUGGAAAUUGUGGGAUUGAGUGAGCCAUGUGUGGAAAUUGUGUAGAAAAGUGUGGAAAUAGUGUGGAGAAGGUGUGGAAAAAAUGUGGAAAUUGUGGGGUUGAGUGAGCCAGGUGUGGACAAGUGAGAUAGACAGAGCGAUGAAGCAUGUGGGGUUGAGUGAGCCAGGUGUGUGCGUCACUUGGGGAUGACUGUGAGCUAACCUGGGACCAAUGGUUGAUGACGCUCACUGAUGGAAUUAGAAGCUGCAUGAAUUGUUUAUGUAGAUUUUAGAAGCUGUCUCAAUUGUUUGUGUAGAUCUGAAGCACUUACUUUGAAUUGAAGGCUUGGACCAUGUAAUAUCUUUGUAAUUCUUCUGUAUCUCUGUCAUAAGUUCCUUAGAUAACUCACUACUGUUUUUGUCUCUAUAUAAUAAUAUGUACAUUUACUCAAACUGCAUUUCCUUUCAGUGUGCAGGUUGGCAGUAAACCUCCCUGAAGGUUCCAGAACUGCUCACCAAGUGUCCAGCCCAGCCUGUCACAAGACUAUGUGACAGUGGACCUUCCACUCAUACUGAAAACAGCUGUGCACUGCCACUCACAGGAAGUGGUGACCACUCUAGAUUGAGUUGUCUUGAAGCUGAGAUGAGUUGGUCGGGUAAUGAGUGACUUGCAUCAAGUGACCGUGAGGUGUUGGACGUGAUAUUGUGUUAUUGCAAGUGUAACCAGUAAUAACAGCGUUCGACCGUUUCUCUAGGGGCAAGCGACACCUCCUGGUGGGGGACUUCAAAUCUGCUGUCGCUGCCUUCGAGGAGGCAACAGAGUCCCUGGUGGAGCUGUGUGGGGAGCAGGCGCCCGAGUGUGGUGACGCGUACUGCCGCUGUGGCCGUGCAUUGCUGGAGCUGGCACGCAAGGAGGCAGGGGUGCUGGGGCCAGAUCUGGAUGGUGCCAGUAGUCAGGAGGGAAGCACAGGGGAAGAGGAGGACGAGGAGGAAGAGAGUUAAGAGUCACAAGAGGAGGAGGAAGGUGGAAAGAAAGAGGAAGGAGAGGAGGAGGAGGAGGAGGAGGAAGAUGGAGAAGGAAAGGAGAAAGAUAAGAAGGAAGGAAAUGCUGCAGAAGGAGAAGAGCAAUAAGACAUUAGAAUUGACAGAGAAACCAGACAAGGGACUGCAUUUGAAGAAGCACAAGAACCAAGAAAUUACAUCAUUCAAUGAAAUGACAACAUAAUCUAAAAUAGAAAUAAAAAACGUCACAAGACAGAAUAGUGAGCUGCAUGCACUUAUCACAGAGUAUAAAGUCACUCCCUCAGAGGAAAAAGACAAGGAUGGCAUGUCUUCAUGUGAGAACUCAGAAGCUAAAUGUACAGAUACCAAGGGGAAAUUGCUGGGUCAAGUGGCUACACUGACAUCUGAGGUUAGCAGGUUGGAGAGUGAGUGCAGCAGUCUUCAGGUUCAGCUAGACUGUGAGAGGGAUAAGUAUAACAAACUGCUGGGAGAAUCUCUUGCUCAUGAAAAGUUGUCUGAAGAUGUCAUAACUGAACCAAAAGGAGAAACAACAGGAUUGGGAGGAACUGAGCUUUAACAGAAGCUGCAACAACUGCAGGAGGCUCACAGGGUCCUGGAGAGCAGGUUAACUUGCAGCAUGAAGGAGGUGGCUGAGCUAAGUGACAGGAAGUAGCAGCUUAAGCAUGCUGUAGUGCAUGAGGAGACAGAGUCCAUCGGUGUAUGCAUGUUUUUUGCUCAUUUGAAUCAUCUGUAAAAGUGAAGUGGAGGAAGUGUUUACUGUUUACUGUAUGCCAUUUCCUUGGUCUUUUAAUGAAGAAUUUUAUCCUUCUUCAGGUGACUACAUCACCAUCUACCAGUUGCAGCGAGGAGUGAUGAAGCAACAAGCUCGAGAACGCGAGUUAGACCUUGCCAGCCUCCAUCAUGAAUGAGAGGAAAUGAAGCAAAACCACUCUGCAGGAUUUGAUAUCAAAGCUGGUGCAGGAAAAGGAAGCAGAUCAUGACCUUCAGCAGCUCGAGAAGAUAAGCAGCGUCCUUAAGAGUCCAGUUGCUAUCUUUAGCAGUGUUGGAACCAGUGAGUCUGAGACACCCACCACCAGUGGAAAGGUGGCUGACGAGCGCCUCAAGCACUCUGAAAAGGUGGAGCAACAACAAGAAACAGAAAAUUGCAUCCAUCAUUCUUUGCCUGAGGAGGGAAUUGAUGCUCUGUUGACCCUUCACACUGAUGUCCCUCAUGAGGAGGGGAGAAUAUGAAUCCUACAGAACUUGCCCAUAGGAAGACCAAAACUGUUACUGCUGCCACACUGCCACCACUUCCACUGACACCAAAAGCCCAACUGUGCAGAGAAUCCUGGACCUCCGCAAUGAAAUGGAGUCCACCAGUCACCUGGAGCACUUUAGCCUCCAAAAGUUCCAUCCGUGUCCAUUGUGUUUGGGUAAACUUAUCACUGUAUAAGGGGACAAGUAUCAGUGUAUGGUUACUAUAUACUCAUUUGUACUUAAAGAUGUCAUGUCACAUCAUUCUCUCUCUCUCUCUCUCUCUCUCUCUCUCUCUCUCUCUCUCUCUCUCUCUCUCUCUCUCUCUCUCUCUCUCUCUCUCUCUCUCUCUCUCUCUCUCUCUCUCUCUUUCUUUCUUUCUUUCUUUCUUUCUUUCUUGCUUUCUUUUGUUGCAUAUGUUACUGCUUUACAUUCCUCCCCACAGUAUUUUUUCAUCUACUUUAUGACUGCAGUAGUUUUAUCAUCCCAGUGUAUGCUGUAUCCACUCUGAAACUGUAAUUCACCAAUCAGCUCAAAUGUGUCUCUGUUUUGAUAAUCAUUAAUUUGUUUCAGCUACACAACCACUCUGAUAAGGGACAAAAUCUACUUCACCAGUCAUCUAUGUCAUACAGUCAUAUAUAUUCAUACAUAUGACAAAAUACUCUUCCUAAGACAUUUCUUAUUUUCUCUUCUCAAGUGACCUGUCCAUCUAUCUAAGGUACCACAUAACAUUUAAAACUUACAAUAUUGUGUUUAAUUCAUGAACACUUUUUUGUCUAUCUAUGGAGACUUGCGUAUAGACUUGAAAUGUAUUGGGAGUUUUCUUUAUCUCUCAUUCUAUACCUAACACCUGUUCCUAAGAAUCCCCAGGUGAUAGCCAUGGUGACUGGCUGGUCUCCUACUGAGUGGCUGGGGUUUUCCAAAAGUGAGGGUUGGUGUUCCAUACCAUACCAUGUGCCCUGUUUGUAUUCCUUCUUUGUCCUCUGUAUUAUAUUCUAUGUAAAGAUGGUGCUGGGGUGGGAUCUACUUCUUAUUCCCUAAAAGUGAUGAGGAGUGACACUGGGCAGCAUUGAUUUGCUCCUUAGAGAUGGCUGGGUUCCUGUGGAUGAGUGGGCCAUGCUGUGCUUUGUCAAGGAUGGUGUUUGGUAUUGUGAUGACUCUUGCCACAAUCAAGUGCCUCCCACAGAGUAGUGGAGUACCUAUGUAUGGUGUUGACCCAAGCUGUCCAGGUCUCAUCCAAUGCCUUAAUAUGAUUUAGAUGAUCAAAAUGGUUUAACUCACCAUUUAAUCAGCUGACUGAUUUGAAUGGAGAAGUAUGUAAUGUGUUGUAGCCUAACCAUCCCUGCCAGCAUGGUCAGAUUCUUGGUAGUAACCUGAAAUGCUCCUAGGUAGUGAGUAUCAUUGCACAUAAUGAUCUUUACUUUGUCAGUAAUUCAAUGAUACUGAAUAUUACUCUACUGGAUUUUGCUCAGCACUGCUUGGUAACUUUUGGCCAUAAUCCCAGGUCUGGAAUGAUAUGAAGCCAUGUUUUUACAUUCCAUAUGAGACAGGCAAGCACUAUGCUUUGCCUGACUGAUACCUGUACUUUACAUUUAUGACCCCAGGUAGUUCAUCACUCUCUCUCUCUCUCUCUCUCUCUCUCUCUCUCUCUCUGUUUGGAAUUAUACUGUAUAUUAGGAAAUAUCAUUAAAGAGUGUGUGUGUAAAAAGUGUUUGCAUUAUUGUGCAUUUGAUGUUAUAGCCCCAGGUUCUUAAAGUUUUCUAGUUUCAUGAUUUAUAAAGAUUGCUAUUUUUAAUAAAGUUAUUGAAAUUGUUA